CAGUUUGGCUCCCUUAAGAUCUUCUGGUGGUCCAGCCUCACACUCCUUGAGCUCAUUCCUCACAUCCCACAACAGAUUUUUAAUCUGCUCAUUGAGCUGUGGCAGUGAUUUCUGACAAAGACAGAGGGUGUGACGGUGAGAAAGUGUUCCCUUGUUUCCAGAGCGCUUGCGCUCCCUUGGCGUCUGUCGUUGCUAACUGCGCUCUCAGUGACGAGGAAUGUUUUUGACAUGAAAGAUAAAAACCCGCCCUGUACUGCUGAUCAGCUGAGCUUUCGAUGUUUUGUUACGGAAAGGCCGAUGUUUUACUUUCAAUUUAACGGCAAUUGCUUGAAUGGUGGGUUACUCUUACUGAAAAACACUGCACAAACGGACAUUUUGGCAUAAUUUGUGUGUGUUAUGGUUCGUUAGAGAACUCGAUACUGGCGCUCGCGCGAAACCGGUGUUGCAACGGAACACCGGUAACACCGACUACCAAGCCGUAUUAAUCCAGAAAUAUGAUCUAAAACCAAAAAACAAUUCAGGGAGUAACCACACAUGAAUGCACUCUGUUUUAAAAGCUGAUGGACUUUGAAUGCUGCUGUUUAAAAAAGAAAAUGAUUCUAACAAUGUAAUAAACAAGGUAGACAAACA